rnacentral:rRNA from 1 species
AGAUACCCUAUUAUACAUCUAUAUUUUAGGUAGUACUAACUUUUCUAGGAAACCUUUACAGUUUGGCGGCAUUCACUCACUUUAGAGGAACCUGUCUUUUAAUCGACACCCCGCGAUAAAGAUCUCACUUUUUUAUAAAUUUUAUAUACCUCCAUCUUAAGGAUUAAUAGAAAUAUUUUUCCCAAAGAGAAUUCUAGUAAGUUAGGUAAAGGUGUAGACUACAAAAAAGAUUAGAUGGGUUACAAUAAACCUUAUUUUAGGAUAAGUAAGUAUUCUUACUUUUGAAAAAGGAUUUAUUAGUAAUAUGAAAAAUAUUAUUCUUCUAUGAAUGUGAUAAAAAAUGUGUACACA